rnacentral:lncRNA from 1 species
AGGUGUUUGCAUAGUAGUUAGGAUUAUGCAUUGUUUUCAUAAGUGUUAUGUUCAGUUUAAAAAAAAAUAAUUUUUAGUUAAAUAUUAUGUUUGCAUAUGUCCAACGGUGUUGCAGUUCAUGUUAUUCGUGGGCCAAUGAUGAGAUUGUGAACAAGUUAACCAAUACAAUAUUGAUUAUUAGAAUUGUGAUACAAUUUCUGUUAUGGAUCGAUUCUUGGACUUGUUUGAAACUGUUAUAAAAAGGUUAGCACUAAUAACAUCUUUGUUGACCGAUCAGUCCCAAUUGAUACAUAAAUAGGUUCUAAAGGAUUAUGCUAGAGUAAAUGAGAAAACGACAAGGAUAGGCAGUAAAGGCUAAAAUUAGGCAAGAACCUAAGUUUGGGGGAGUAUAUGUGGGGUACAUUAUCUAUUUAUAAAAGAAAAAAAAGAAAAAGGUAUACAUGGUGACUAGUCUUGUUUUGGGGCCUUUGUUACUUGAGCAAGUACGCCCGAGGGAAUUGUCUUUACACCUAGCGCCCUAAGGUCUUUUAUGGUCUGGGAGUCGUUGGUCGAAAGCUCGCUAAGGGGUAACACUGUUAGCCUAAUGGGAUGAGACAUUGCACAGUCACUUAUGUAUAUUUAGAAAAAAAAAUAAUAAGAAUAAAACGGUAAAAGUGCAAAAAGCCCCCGUGGAAAAAAAAAGAAAAAAAGAAAAAAAAUAAUGAAUUAAAAGAAGUAUCAGUACCUUGCAUGAACCCUUGAAUUUGGUAUUGUUUAGUUUUAGUUUUAAUUGUAAUAUGCCUAUUUUUGACAUUUUUUAGUUUGCACUGUAUGAGUCCUUCUAAGAAAUUAUUUAUGUGUUGAAUUGGAGUCCGUAUCAGUUUUCAUAGACGUUGAACACACACGCACACUAUAUCAGUGAUAAUUGUUUAAGAUUCGAGAAUUAAGAUGAAACUGUGGAUUGGUUUUGGUAAUUCAUAUUGUAAGGUUGCUUGUUUUCUCUGAGGCCGAGGGGAUAAUUUAGUUUC